AACGAACGCUGGCGGCAGGCCUAACACAUGCAAGUCGAGCGAGAUCUUCGGGUCUAGCGGCGGACGGGAGAGUAACGCGUGGGAAUAUGCCUCUUGGUACGGAAUAGCCUCGGGAAACUGGGAGUAAUACCGUAUGUGCCCUUUGGGGGAAAGAUUUAUCGCCAAGAGAUUAGCCCGCGUUGGAUUAGGUAGUUGGUGGGGUAAUGGCCUACCAAGCCGACGAUCCAUAGCUGGUUUGAGAGGAUGAUCAGCCACACUGGGACUGAGACACGGCCCAGACUCCUACGGGAGGCAGCAGUGGGGAAUCUUAGACAAUGGGGGCAACCCUGAUCUAGCCAUGCCGCGUGAGUGAUGAAGGCCUUAGGGUUGUAAAGCUCUUUCAGCUGGGAAGAUAAUGACGGUACCAGCAGAAGAAGCCCCGGCUAACUCCGUG
rnacentral:rRNA from 1 species